UGCAGGCGCGCAGAGAGCCGUUGAGGACUCGCUGUGUGGCAGUUCCCCAGCCCUGGGCUCAGUCAGCGUCUUGUCAGUGCCUGGGGAGCACCACAGGAGCGCCCUGGAGCCAGGUGCUGCUGUCCAGCCCCAAAGCAGUGAGAAAAACAUCAGGAAACAGAGGAAUAUUCAUGAGAUGCUGAUGUUGAGUAAGGAGCACAUCAAGUAACAGAUUCCUUGCCCCUUUGCCUGUGGGCACAGGCAGACCCACCUCAGCAGCUGCACAGGUUUCUCUGCAGCAGAUUUCUCCACCAAAGACCUCCACAUGGGUGAUAGUGGGGGCUUCAGUUCCUUGCUGUUCCAACAUCUUCUGUGAAGGAGUCUUCCAAAGAAAUCUUGAAAAAUGGUGCCAAGUCCAUAGGUGGAAUUAAUCCCCAGCAUUAGCCAUGCUAGAAAUCUUAGUGCACUGAUGUGAAACAAACAAACAAAAAAUCCGGGAUAAGAAUCUCACAGAAAGAUGACCAGAGGAAGGGAGAGGGACUUCCUAUGGGUAGAGGAUGAGGAAAUGUCUCUGGACCUAGACGGGUGAUGGCUGCAUGACAUGAAGAUGUACUUCACUGCACUGAACUAAGCAUUUCAAAAUGAGUAAAAUGUUAAAUUUUGAUUAAAAUUAAAACAAACUACUAAAAUAAAAAGGAAAACAAAUAAAAUGGUAAGAGAGCGGAAAGGUCACUCUGAGAGAAUGUUCAAGUAGCUCAGAAACUGGCACUAGCUGUGGAUCCACUUGGAGCUCCAGUCCUGGUGCUGCUCCAGAAGUUUCUGCCCUGACUCUCUCUCUGAUGGUCAAGGUGGUAAUGGGACUGGAGCUUAAGCUUAAGGGGCUUUACCUAAGGUUUUCUCUAAUAAUUCCAAUAUUAUGAUCUUGAGUUAUCCAUCCAGGAGGUAACCGUACCAGCAUUUCCAUACCCACUCUGCCUAUUUGUUUCUCCGUAGGAGAUAAUGAGACCUAUAAUCCAGGCAGUCCCUUCUGUUUUGCUCUUGCUAAUAAAACUAUUGUAGAUAACUCUAAGAAGUCAUAUGUUGGGCUAUCUCACAGACCUUAGAGUGAUAGUUAAUGCCACCUAUAGCCACAGACUCCCCCAUGGCAAAUGCAAGAAACCCUUGCUGCCAACAUACCCAAUAACACUUUUUGGAAAGCCCCCCCUCAGGUAAUGAUGUCAUCCCAUAGAAUCAUUGUGUUACUGCCGUACCUUGUCUCCUUGAUAAGAGGAAUUUCUCUGGGGAAGAACAACAUCUAUGGGUCCUGGUAACCACCAUCAUUGCUACAGUGACUGUGCUGCUCCACAGUAUCCAGACUGCUCAGACUCAAACAAUUUGUCUACUGCCAUGGCAGAAGCCUUUGCCAUUUAAAAUGACUUAAAUAAACUGUCCUGAGCCACUAUUGUAGUCAUUUAGCAAGAACUAGGCCUCCACCAGGAACAACUAGAUUUUCUGUUUAUGUUGCAAAGGCUCAUUUGUGACCUUGAAUUCCAUAGUAUUUGUGUCACCAAUAUGCUGUGUCUAAAAAUGUAACCUUACACUUCUCCAAAUUUUCUCAGUAUAUUAAGAGUUCUUUGGAGGCAAACUAUAUUAUGACUAUGCAUAACCUUACUAAGGCAAUUGCCAAAAUCAAUGAGACUAAGGUGUCUAUCUUGACAACCUCUUCAUUCUUCCAGGGAUUGACUGAACAUUGGAAAAAUGUUAAUAUUAAUCUGAUAGCCAAAUUAACUAAUCCUCAUAAUGCUAUUACCCUGGUAUUACUGUUUAUAAUAGUGAUAAUAUUUUCUUGUGUUGUGAGAUGCUUAUGUACCCAUGUAAAGGCCACCGAACAACAACAACAAAAUAAAAAACAGCAAUGCUGGGCUGAA